CGCGGUUGUAGCAAUACAACUGGCGCACGGCGCACGGGUGCGUAACACGUGGGCAGUCUGCCCUCCGAUGGGGAAUAACUCCGGGAAACCGAAGCUAAUUCCGCAUAACAUUCCCUGGACUCCGGUUCGGGGACUCAAAGCAGCAAUGUGUCGGAGGAGGAGCCCGCGCCCGAUUAGCUAGUUGGUGAGGUAACGGCUCACCAAGGCUAUGAUCGGUAGCUGGUCUGAGAGGAUGGCCAGCCACACUGGAACUGAGACACGGUCCAGACUCCUACGGGAGGCAGCAGUGGGGAAUCUUGCGCAAUGGGCGAAAGCCUGACGCAGCGACGCCGCGUGGGGGAUGAAGCUUCUCGGAGUGUAAACCCCUUUCGACCGGGACGAAUGCCCGCAAGGGAGUGACGGUACCGGUAGAAGAAGCCCCGGCUAACUACGUGCCAGCAGCCGCGGUAAGACGUAGGGGGCCAGCGUUGUUCGGAAUUACUGGGUGU
rnacentral:rRNA from 1 species